GGCUAUAGCUCAGUGGUAGAGUAUCUGCUUUGCAUGCAGAAGUUCAAUCCUCAGGUAGGGCUG
rnacentral:tRNA from 1 species